rnacentral:rRNA from 2 species
ACCUGCGGAAGGAUCAUUACCGAGUGUAGGGUUCCUAGCGAGCCCAACCUCCCACCCGUGUUUACUGUACCUUAGUUGCUUCGGCGGGCCCGCCAUUCAUGGCCGCCGGGGGCUCUCAGCCCCGGGCCCGCGCCCGCCGGAGACACCACGAACUCUGUCUGAUCUAGUGAAGUCUGAGUUGAUUGUAUCGCAAUCAGUUAAAACUUUCAACAAUGGAUCUCUUGGUUCCGGCAUCGAUGAAGAACGCAGCGAAAUGCGAUAACUAGUGUGAAUUGCAGAAUUCCGUGAAUCAUCGAGUCUUUGAACGCACAUUGCGCCCCCUGGUAUUCCGGGGGGCAUGCCUGUCCGAGCGUCAUUGCUGCCCAUCAAGCACGGCUUGUGUGUUGGGUCGUCGUCCCCUCUCCGGGGGGGACGGGCCCCAAAGGCAGCGGCGGCACCGCGUCCGAUCCUCGAGCGUAUGGGGCUUUGUCACCCGCUCUGUAGGCCCGGCCGGCGCUUGCCGAACGCAAAUCAAUCUUUUUCCAGGUUGACCUCGGAUCAGGUAGGGAUACCCGCUGAACUUAAGCAUAUCAAUAAGCGGAGGA